rnacentral:sRNA from 1 species
AGGACGCCCAGGGCCCCGCCCGCGUCCGAAGGGGAUGGAGAGGGGCCGGGGACCUGCUGGAUUGUUGCCCCAAUUCGCGGAUUCUGGUUUCUGAAGGCUACGCCGGAAUUCCUUCCCCGGGACUUGGGAACCACUUCUGCCUCCCUCCCUGGGGCGUGGAGGCUGAGGAAAAGGAGUUAAUGUGUUAAGAGCCAUUGACAUUUGAAGAUCAUCAGAAGUGAAGAUAAAACAUCUCAAAAAUUAUAAUUGCCUCCACUUCUCAUUCAGAGAAUUCAGUGCAUACAAAAUCAGCUUCUGUUGUAUCAUCAGAUUCCAUUUCAACUUCUGCCGACAACUUUUCUCCUGAUUUGAGGCCCAUGCAGUCCAGUUCGGGAGCUAAGUCACUUAAACACUGUGUGAUAGUUCCUACACAUCUCAUUAUAGUUU